UACGGGGGGAGCAAGCGUUGUUCGGAUUUACUGGGCGUAAAGGGCGCGUAGGCGGUAGCACAAGUCAGUUGUGAAAUCUCCGGGCUUAACUCGGAAAGGUCAACUGAUACUGUGCGACUAGAGUGCAGAAGGGGCAACUGGAAUUCUCGGUGUAGCGGUGAAAUGCGUAGAUAUCAGGAAGAACACCAAUGGCGAAGGCAGCUCUCUGGGACGGUACUGACGCUGAGACGCGAAAGCGUGGGGAGCGAACAGG
rnacentral:rRNA from 1 species